GACGAACGCUGGCGGCGUGCCUAAUACAUGCAAGUCGAACGCAGUGGGGACGGGUGAUUAACACGUGGGUAACCUCCCAUCAGAGGGGAUAACACUUGGCAACAGGUGCUAAACCGAUACUGAUGGAUGGAGCCGCGGUGGAUUAGCCAGUUGGUGGGGUAACGGCUCACCAAGGCCACGAUGUAUAGCCGACCUGAGAGGGUGACCAGCCACACUUGAACUGAGACACGGCCCAGACUCCUACGGGAGGCAGCAGUGGGGAAUCUUCGGCAAUGGACGAAAGUCUGACCGAGCAAUGCCGCGUGAGUGAAGAAGGUUUGCGGAUCUUAAAGCUCUGUUGUUAGAGAAGCGGUAUCUAACCAGAAAGCCACGGCUAACUCCGUGCCAGCAGCCGCGGUAAUAC
rnacentral:rRNA from 1 species